rnacentral:lncRNA from 1 species
UAAGCCGGAGAUCCGCAUUUAUUGUGGAGUAAGCCGGAGAGUUACAGCGACCAUGCGCAAUAAAUGCCAGAGGGGCGUCAGGGUAUGGUCCUCGGCCAGACCUCUGAGGCGCACGGCCGUAGUAGGUGGCUGACAAGAGUAGACCUCGAACAUCGGGGUUUUUCUUAGGCCGGAGGUCUCGAGGUCGGGCGUUCCGAAGUCGGACGCCGACUUCGGCCGUCCGGGGUCGGAAGUUGUACGGCUUCUUAGGGGUAUUUAUGUCAUUUGGGAAAAAAUCUUAUUCCCCCCAACAGA